rnacentral:tRNA from 1 species
UGGGAUGUAGCCCAAUGGUAGAGCACCCCUGGGUUCCAUCCCAAUGGAAAAAUAAAUCUUUACCAAUUUUAUAGUAUAUAAUACAUUGUUUUUAACUAUGUAGUCACCCUAGGUAUAUGGGUCAGUGGGAGAGUGUUUGCCUAGCUCUAGGUAAGGUCCUGGGUUCAAUUCCCAGCACUGUAA